rnacentral:rRNA from 1 species
GACGUAGGGUGCGAGCGUUGUCCGGAUUUAUUGGGCGUAAAGAGCUCGUAGGCGGCUUGUCGCGUCGAUUGUGAAAGCCCGGGGCUUAACCUCGGGUCUGCAGUCGAUACGGGCUGGCUAGAGUGUGGUAGGGGAGAUCGGAAUUCCUGGUGUAGCGGUGAAAUGCGCAGAUAUCAGGAGGAACACCGGUGGCGAAGGCGGAUCUCUGGGCCAUUACUGACGCUGAGGAGCGAAAGCGUGGGGAGCGAACAGG